rnacentral:rRNA from 1 species
GUAGGGAAUAUUGGGCAAUGGUCGGAAGACUGACCCAGCCAUGCCGCGUGCAGGAAGACGGCCCUCUGGGUUGUAAACUGCUUUUAUCUGGGAAGAAAAAGGCCAUGCGUGGCAAAUUGCCGGUACCAGAUGAAUAAGCACCGGCUAACUCCGUGCCAGCAGCCGCGGUAAUACGGAGGGUGCGAGCGUUGUCCGGAUUUAUUGGGUUUAAAGGGUGCGUAGGCAGCUGAUUAAGUCAGCGGUGAAAGACUUCGGCUUAACCGGAGCAGUGCCGUUGAUACUGGUUGGCUUGAGUGUCGGAGGGGUACAUGGAAUUGAUGGUGUAGCGGUGAAAUGCAUAGAUACCAUCAGGAACACCGAUAGCGAAGGCAUUGUACUGGCCGACAACUGACGCUGAUGCACGAAAGUGUGGGGAUCGAACAGGAUUAGAUACCCUGGUAGUCC